rnacentral:rRNA from 1 species
UCUCCCUACGGGAGGCAGCAGUCGGGAAUAUUGCACAAUGGAGGAAACUCUGAUGCAGUGACGCCGCGUGCAGGAAGAAGGUUUUCGGAUUGUAAACUGCUUUAGACAGGGAAGAAACAAGACAGUACCUGUAGAAUAAGCUCCGGCUAACUACGUGCCAGCAGCCGCGGUAAUACGGAGGAUGCGAGCGUUAUCCGGAUUUAUUGGGUUUAAAGGGUGCGUAGGCGGAUUUUUAAGUCAGCGGUAAAAUGUCCGGGCUCAACCCGGGCCGGCCGUUGAAACUGGGGAUCUUGAGUGGGCGAGAA